rnacentral:lncRNA from 1 species
CUGGUACAGCUUAACAGUGAAGCAAAUUUUAUUAUAUUUUUUUGGCAUUGAAUCUUGUUUCAUCGUCAUUCGCUGACGUACAGUUGUGGUUAAGAACUCAAUUUAAUUCUCAGAAUACCAGCAAUGUGAUUUAAUGUGCAUCUAACUUCUAUAAUCUGUAAAAAGGUUUUUUCCUCUUACUAACAUGAUUUUUUUCAAAUUUUAACACAAUAUUUUCACAAAGUAGUGCAUUUAGGGGGGAGGGGUCAAUAAGUGUGCAGUGAACUAUUGAAGAAUACCAUAAAAAGAUAGUUCUAACUUGUACACUUGUACACUCGUUAAAACUGUAAUUUUAAUAGUGUACCAGUGCAAUCACAAACAUGAAAUGCGCUAAAACUUUCUAAAAGAAAACUUGCUGGAUAAGGAUAUUCUUAUUUUUUUCUUAUGCCUUGAGUAGCAGUCUUUGGUACUAAAAUUUCAUUAUAUUUCUAAGGAUACCAGUGGUGUAGGGGUAUUCACAGCAGAAAGAUCGCGUGUUCUAAUCUCACUGCCGGAGGUGAAAUAGUAAAUGUAACUUACCUAUACUUUACUUUCAAUUUGAAAAAGAAAACUAAUGAAAUAAUUAUGUUUGUUUUUAAAAGAAUUUUGUGUCCAAAUGCCCCCUCUCCCUCUUCCAUUUUCCCCCUUUGCUCCAUUCGGACUCGGUGCAGGGUUACCACAUCAAGUAAUAAAUGGGAAAUUCAAUUAACUUUUCCCUUGUAAAAAUUAAAUUUAGUUUAUUGCUUGACUGAAAACGCUUUAGAAAGAAAAAAAAUAGUGUAGGAGUUUGAACAAGUUUGUUUAAAUUUGGACGAAAAUAUGGUAAUUCUCUAACAAUUUUUUAACCGAACCUUUUUUUUUUUAGAAAACCAGAGGCCUGGCCCCUUAUUCACUAAAGAUACGAUACAACAUGUCGUAUCGUAAUUAUUUAUCGUAAAUAUACGACAUGCAUACGAUAUGUCGUAAUUUGUAUUCUCAAACGUUGUCGCAGUACUGUUGCAAGUUUCUCGCAGUUGCUAAUGUCGUAAAUCUACAGAACAAUCAUUUUACGUAACAGAGGAGGAUUUUGUUCUGCAAGUGCCCGAUUUGAAAUCCAAUUUAAAUCCUAAUUCAAACAUUUUCAAUAUAUGAUGUCAUAUUAAAUGCACUCGAACGAUCC